AGCCAUCUCCAGCACUGCGGCUCUACUCUCUUCUUUGAUUGGUUUUAGCGGUGACGCCUCCUCCUGAAUGCCUCGCUCGGAUUGGCCUACUUCUUGGAUCAGACUGGACGGUGGCCAGCGGAGGACAAGAGACUUCUAUACGGUCUGGAGGGAGGGACGGUUUGGGUCACAUCCGAGACGCAGUUGCACAUCAACAAGCGUCCAGGCUCCAGGGACAUGGCGGCGGCCUCUGUGGUGUCGGUGCUGCUGAUGGCGGCUGAGAGAAACUGGUGGCAGCGAGUCCAGAGCCCGCUGCUGCUGCUGCUGCCGCCCAGGCAACGGUCCAAAAGAUACUUCUAGCGCUUGGAUACUACCUGGGAGCAACUUAUCAUGCCUGCAUUGUAUGGAACAAGUGUUCAAAAUAAUGCAAAAACUGUUGUGUCCCUUUCUGUCUUAAUGCCAAUCAAUAUUGGCUGAAGUCCUCAAAAAGUUCCUGAGGGAUCCAUUUCAAAUUCUAGUGAAGAAAGAACUGAUCUUUGAAAGGUGCUGACAGAAAGAAAGAGGCAUUACCAAGAGGGAACUCCUUGAUAAGAAGUGGAAGCGGGAGUCAGUUUGGGAGGAAAACUGUGGCCAUAAACAUUGAAGAAGACAAGAAGAUUCUUUGUGACACUGAGACUUUCUACCACACCAUGGUGGAGGAAAUGCCAAAGACUGUGGCUGACCUAAUUUAAUUCCUGGAAUGAAAUGGUUAUGAAUGUAGUGCUUGCUGUUGCUGAAUAGGCAAUCACAUUGUGCACUGUGUUUCUUUUGGGGAUAAUAUGUGAAGCUUGUCUCAGUGCUCACAACAGAUUAAAAAUACAGAUUUUGAUAGCAAAGCAACUUCAGACAUGAUUUCAUGUGAGGGUAGUCAUUGGCUUAAUCCUCUUGUUGCCUAGUUCUCUACACAUGGUUGUAUUGAGUAUUUGCCAUCAUUUAAUAAUAUGGACCGAAAGAUAUAAAAGCAGCUAAUUAUAAAGUUUGUCUGCCUUUAUUGUUUUAGUCACUAACUGAAUAGAGCUAACUUUAAAAUGAUUUUUUAAGAAAAUACUUAAAUUUAUUUUGUUUGGUAUCAUUUUUUUCAGUAAGGCAUUUUAUUAGCAGUUAGUUGAAUGUUUAUUGAAUGUUCAAUAAAUUACAGUGAAGUAUUUUUUUCUCUGAA